rnacentral:tRNA from 3 species
GCAUGGGUGGCGGAGUGGUCAAUCGCACUUGGCUGUAAACCAAGCGCCCUAUGGGCUUCGGGGGUUCGAAUCCCUCCCCAUGCACAA